GGGUCAGUAGGUUGGUCGUGCCACCGGUACGUACUGGUCUCACUGAUUCCUCCUUCCUGAAGAACCGUAAUGCCAUUAAUUUGGUGUUGCGGGGAAACAGGACUGUUACUUUGAAAAAAUUAGAGUGUUUAAAGCAGGCUAACGCUUGAAUACAUUAGCAUGGAAUAGUGAAAUAGGACGAUCGAUCCUAUUUUGUUGGUUUCCAGGAUUGACGUA
rnacentral:rRNA from 1 species